AACAGCUCAAAUUUGAAAUCUGGCCCUCGGGUCCGAGUUGUAAUUUGUAGAGGAUGCUUUUGGUGAGGUACCUUCCGAGUUCCCUGGAACGGGACGCCAUAGAGGGUGAGAGCCCCGUCUGGUUGGAUACCAAACCUCUGUAAAGCUCCUUCGACGAGUCGAGUAGUUUGGGAAUGCUGCUCUAAAUGGGAGGUAUAUGUCUUCUAAAGCUAAAUACCGGCCAGAGACCGAUAGCGCACAAGUAGAGUGAUCGAAAGAUGAAAAGCACUUUGAAAAGAGAGUUAAAAAGUACGUGAAAUUGUUGAAAGGGAAGCGCUUAUGACCAGACUUGGACUUGGUUGAUCAUCCUGGGUUCUCCCUGGUGCACUCUUCCAGUUCAGGCCAGCAUCAGUUCGCUGCGGGGGAUAAAAGUUUUGGGAAUGUGGCUCCCUCGGGAGUGUUAUAGCCCAUUUCAUAAUACCCUGCUCCGGACUGAGGUUCGCGCAUCUGCAAGGAUGCUGGCGUAAUGGUCAUCAGCGACCCGUCUUGAAACACGGACCAAGGAGUCGUCUUCGUAUGCGAGUGUUCGGGUGUUAACCCCUACGCGUAAUGAAAGUGAACGCAGGUGAGAGCUUCGGCGCAUCAUCGACCGAUCCUGAUGUUCUCGGAUGGAUUUGAGUAAGAGCAUACGGGGCCGGACCCGAAAGAAGGUGAACUAUGCCUGUAUAGGGUGAAGCCAGAGGAAACUCUGGUGGAGGCUCGCAGCGGUUCUGACGUGCAAAUCGAUCGUCAAAUAUGGGCAUGGGGGCGAAAGACUAAUCGAACCUUCUAGUAGCUGGUUUCCGCCGAAGUUUCCCUCAGGAUAGCAGUGUUGAACUCAGUUUUAUGAGGUAAAGCGAAUGAUUAGGGACUCGGGGGCGCUAUAUUGCCUUCAUCCAUUCUCAAACUUUAAAUAUGUAAGAAGCUCUUGUUACUUAGUUGAACGUGAGCAUUUGAAUGUAUCAACACUAGUGGGCCAUUUUUGGUAAGCAGAACUGGCGAUGCGGGAUGAACCGAACGCGAGGUUAAGGUGCCAGAGUAGACGCUCAUCAGACACCACAAAAGGUGUUAGUACAUCUAGACAGCAGGACGGUGGCCAUGGAAGUCGGAAUCCGCUAAGGACUGUGUAACAACUCACCUGCCGAAUGUACUAGCCCUGAAAAUGGAUGGCGCUCAAGCGUCUCACCCAUACCUCGCCCUCA
rnacentral:rRNA from 2 species